AUUAGUUGCUAUGUGCUGUGAGUGAAAUGAGAAUGAGAGAAAGAGAGACAAGCAAUCACAAACACGAUGUUUAUAGUAGUUCGGAGCUAACCCUUGCUCCUACGUCCACUCCCCAAGUCUCACUUGGGAAUUCACUAUAACCCCUUGGAUUACAGCCGGUUGUUUUCCAAGCUCACAACCAAACUUGUUGUUUUACGAGCUCACAACGAACUCGGUCGGUUUUCCCAGGCUCACCGACUAGAACCAACCCCGAUUGUUUUCCCGGGAUCACAAUCGAACCCUUACACGUUGGUUUUACACUCGGCUCACCAACCAACCUCUACACCCUUGAUUCAAUCCUCCGAUUGA
rnacentral:lncRNA from 1 species